rnacentral:rRNA from 1 species
AACGAACGCUGGCGGCAUGCCUAACACAUGCAAGUCGAACGAGACCUUCGGGUCUAGUGGCGCACGGGUGCGUAACGCGUGGGAACCUGCCCUUAGGUUCGGCAUAACUCCCCGAAAGGGGUGCUAAUACCGGAUAAUGUCUUCGGACCAAAGAUUUAUCGCCUUUGGAUGGGCCCGCGUUGGAUUAGCUAGUUGGUAGGGUAAAAGCCUACCAAGGCGACGAUCCAUAGCUGGUCAGAGAGGAUGAUCAGCCACACUGGGACUGAGACACGGCCCAGACUCCUACGGGAGGCAGCAGUGGGGAAUGUUGGAAAAUGGGCGAAAGGCUGAUCCAGCAAGGCCGCGUGAGUGAUGAAGGCCUUGGAGUUGUAAAGCGCUUUUAACCGGGAUGAUAAUGACAGUACCGGGAGAAUAAGCUCCGGCUAACUCCGUG